CCCAGACUCCUACGGGAGGCAGCAGUGGGGAAUAUUGGGCAAUGGGCGCAAGCCUGACCCAGCAACGCCGCGUGAAGGAAGAAGGCUUUCGGGUUGUAAACUUCUUUUGUCAGGGACGAAGCAAGUGACGGUACCUGACGAAUAAGCCACAGCUAACUACGUGCCAGCAGCCGCGGUAAUACGUAGGUGGCAAGCGUUAUCCGGAUUUACUGGGUGUAAAGGGCGUGUAGGCGGGGAAGCAAGUCAGAUGUGAAAACCACGGGCUCAACCUGUGGCCUGCAUUUGAAACUGUUUUUCUUGAGUGCUGGAGAGGCAAUCGGAAUUCCGUGUGUAGCGGUGAAAUGCGUAGAUAUUAGGAGGAACACCAGUGGCGAAGGCGACUUUCUGGACAGUAACUGACGUUGAGGCACGAAAGUGUGGGGAGCAAACAGGAUUAGAUACCCCAGUACU
rnacentral:rRNA from 1 species